UGUUAUUGAACUCAACCUGUAGGAGGUUUGUUUGUUGUUAUUGACUGGAGGGGAAACAGCUGCGGGCAAAGUUCUGACAGAUCGGUUCCCAAGGGAACAAACUUUUCAGGUUUUCGCCGAUGACCCUCUCUGCAGACUGGACAAUAAGUUGCCAUUUGCCCUUGCAGUGGGAUCCAAACCCAACGGUGAUGUAAGAGAUUACACAGAUCCACAAAGAAUUUGAAAACAAAUCAUAAACCCAAAUGUGUUAGGCG
rnacentral:lncRNA from 1 species